rnacentral:rRNA from 1 species
UACGUAGGGUCCGAGCGUUGUCCGGAAUUACUGGGCGUAAAGCGCGCGCAGGCGGCCCGCGAGGUGUCACGUGAAAGCCCCGGGCUCAACCCGGGAGGGUCGUGGCAAACCAGCGGGCUUGAGGCCGGUAGAGGUGGGUGGAACUCCUGGUGGAGUGGUGAAAUGCGUAGAGAUCAGGAAGAACACCCGUGGCGAAGGCGGCCCACUGGGCCGGUACUGACGCUGAGGCGCGAAGGCGUGGGGAGCAAACAGG